UCACAGGAUAUAUACAACAGAUACAAGAACCAGGUUGUAAAGGAUCAAAGGUAUUUGUAUACUAACGAAUAGGGGAUUACUCAUGUAAGAUUUCCAUUGGCAAAGAUGAUGACAACAUGUUACAAAGGAAACACCUCUCAGGUUGCAAUUGCCUCGUGGUCCAUUAUGUUGCUGAGUGGCAGCACCUUAAGGUAAAGUCUGCUAGCACAAUUUAAAUAUGAAAUAAAAAAUGCAGUGAAUUACCAAAGCUAGUAAUGCUGACAAAGUUAUCUUCACAUGCAUUCCCUAGUUAAUUAUUGGGUGACAAACUGAAUUUACCAACCUGUGGCAGGACCACAUAAAUGUUUCCCAAUUGCCUAAGAAACACCCCUAAAAGUCUACACGUUAUUCAAGUCCAAAUCAUCAACUGCAAUAGUUAAGUUAUACAUUAGAUGCGCAAGGGGGAUGUAAACUGACAGUAUUCAAUAAAUACAUCUAUACAUGUAAUGCUAAAUAUUGUCUGCUUGUCAUGUUAAAUGUGGCAGAAAACCAAAUGAGCUCCCAUUGAAAAUAGCCUUCAUUAGUUUAAUAGUGAUUAUGUAUGGAACUCAAGGCCCUUGCAAGGUCCCCUGAGUGUCUUCCCAACAUCCAACAUGGGGGAAUACACUUCACUGACAUAUACAAAUGUAUCAUGUACAAAACAAAACUAGGAAUCAAUUGGGCUAGUAGGAUUUUUAUUUUCGCCUGGAGACUAAACUAGUGUUUGAAUAUUUUUGAGCCCACUAAAUCUCUUGAGGUGUCUUCCCAACACGCAUGGCAUGAAGCCAAUGCUAACGGGGAUAGCCUCACCAAAGAGGGGGCUUUGCAAACAAAUCUUGUAACCUUGGUCUAGUGGGCAGUCCCUUUUUGUUUUUUUUUUGUACAAUUUUGUCUCUGUUCUUUAUUAAUUAACUGUAUAAGAGUUCUGGUUUUACACUUGUUAUAAGUAAUCCAAAAGAGUAAAUAAAGAAAAAAAGAAGUCUUUGCUUUCCUUGUGGAACUUGCAUAAUAGCUACAGUUGACUUUAUCAUUUGACUGUUGUUCAUGAAAAUGGGAAUGGAUUUUGAAAUAGUAUUAAUUUCUGGAAGUAUAUCUUAGGUUUUGUAAAGAAAUGUUGAGUUUACUUCUGGGAAUAAUCGAGGGAAAAAGGAAAGCAAAGCAAAGCCCUCUAACAUAGUUUGGAAGUAAAAAGAUGCAUUUUAUCUGUUAGCAAAAUGACUAGAACUCCUUGAAUAUUUUGAGGCCCUCAUUUCUAUUAGGCAAGCAUUAAAAUAAUUAGUUUGUGUAUUUUCUUUAUCGGUGGAUGGAGGCUGCAAUGAUUAUCUAUAUGGCCAGUAAUUUCCAAGAUGCUUUUUUUUUUUUCUCUAAACAGCUUUUCCUAGAUAUAUUUGACACUCAAGUUAUCCUUGAUUCCGUUAUAGGUAUCUAUACUUUGUUAGCUGUCCAACUUCAUAUACCUCCUUAUGAAGAGUAUUUUCGUUCACUACAUUUUGAUAUACCACAACAUUUGUGUUGUUUUCUUAUCUUUCAAAUUAUCUUUAUUUGCAAAUGAUAUUCUUCAUGAGCAUUGUAUGCUAGAAACAUGCCAUGUUCAUAUUUUGCCUCUUUCUUUUCUGCAACCUUAAUCAAAGUCCUUUUAUGGUGUAUCUGCAGUGUCCUAUUCAGUACCCAUUCUUGGCUUUUUUCAGGGGAGAGAAAAGGCAAAAGGAUAAAUGAAUGAAGAAUUGUUUAGAGAUGUACAAGUUGGAGAGUACUACAUGCACUAGUACAGUGAAAGCAUCCGCCAAAAUAGGAAGGAUAAACAAAAUCACCAACGCCGCACUUGCUUUUCCUGUGGUUUAUGUCUUCUCUUUUUUUUUCCUUGUAAUUGUAGAUGUGAUAUUUUAUGUUAUUAAGCAUUGUUAAACUGGUAGAGUUGCAUAUUCUUUUCUUUUUUAUUUUGUUAAAAACAAUUGUGGAUGUCGUGGUGAAGACUCUCUCUCUCUCUC
rnacentral:lncRNA from 1 species